CUGGACGUGUGGGCGCAGCCCUACCCCUUAGGCUCUGAAAUUCGGGGUUACAGUCUUGGGUUCUGCAUGCAUGUCCUUGGUUCCGGCACCCGAACUAUGCCCACACCGGCCGGCUGGAACCUUUGGAAGAACUGAAGGAUUCCUGGGCUCCAGCCUACCUAGGUCUGCAGGCAGCGAUGGCGUACCAGCACCCUCUCUCCGUCUCCGCCCACCCCAGUCUCCCCGACGCCCCGCGGCUCUGUGCUGGGGGCUGAGGGGGCUCAUCCUGACGCCCGCACCCCGGAGGCUCCCCCUGCCUCCCCCCAGGCUCCCCACCCCGCUCCUCCGCUGAGCGGCGGCGGAGAUGGAUGCGACCUCCCCCGGGGAUCGCCGGACUCGCCGGACCGCAGCAGCAGCGCGGAGGAGAGGGGUAGCCGAGCACCAGGGAGGGUGUGACAGUUUCUCUGGAGAGCUGGGAAAAGAAAUCCAACAACAGUGAGUUAGUGGCCUCAGAGGUUCCUCUUCCUAAAAUCACAAUAGCCUGGAGGCAGGCAUUCCAAGGCUGCAUGGCAGGUUUUCAUGGACUAUAUGUCAUCAUUGGCUCUACGCUCUUUAGUCAACUAAGAUUCACUUCACAGGCAAGCGUCACAGGGCCUCCCACUGCCUCUGUUUACUGAGAUGGGCUGUCAUGAAACAUAACUUCAGAAGGAAAAGCUGGGAAGAACUACACUGAAGAUACCUUCUUCAAAAACGAACUAUUUGAAAAAUUUCAAAAUAAAUGCAGUUCAAUGCUGAAAGCUAUUAACAUCUCUGCCACAAGUUGUAAACAUGCCCCAUUUUAAUGUGAUGAAAUAAUGCCUAGAAUACAAACAAUUUUUAAAUGGUACAUUCACAAAUGUUUUGUAAUACCAUGAUAAUGUUUUCAUAAUAACAUAAUGUAACUUAGCAGAGAUGAGCCAAAUAUA